GUUUACCGACAUUGCCAUGUACAAUACAAUGCUUGUAGCAUUUGUAUUGUACGCGGAAACGGAACGAAAAAGAUGUCUUUGUCGAGUUCAUUGCAAAACUUUCGUGUCGCGAUACCAGCAGGUUUUAGAAGAAAUACAAAGUCUUCGAACAACUGCUGUUCGCAAUGAAUUAGAGAUAAGUCUUGGCAGCUUUAAACUUUUAUGCCAAUGGAUCAUACAAAUGGCUUUGUGAUGGCUAAGGCAUCUUUUAGCAAAUGCCUACAUGAAGUCGCUGACGCUCCUGAAUACCCCAGCUGUUUAAAAAAAAUGUGUUAAGUUCCCUUUGCAUUAAACACAAAAUCAUUAUAAAUAAAUUUAUGAAAAAAUUUGGAUUGCCCGGGUAUUAGGGCGCAUUGAUUGCACCCAUGUGACAAUAGUUCGGCCUACAAGCCAAGAGCUACUAGGAGGCUAACAAUUAGAAUUGAAUAAAAGCAUGGUACCUCCUUUUAUUUAAACAUUAACUUAUUUAUAUAUUGUCAAUUAAU
rnacentral:lncRNA from 1 species